GACGAACGCUGGCGGCGUGCUUAACACAUGCAAGUGGAGCGACGAACCAGGGCUUGCCCUGGGGCAGAGCCGCGAACGGGUGAGUAACACGUGGGUAACCUACCCCGAUGACCGGGACAACCCGAGGAAACUCGGGCUAAUACCGGAUGUUGUCGUCUUCUCUAAGGAAACCGACUAAAGAUAGCUUCGGCCUUCGCAUCGGGACGGGCCCGCGGCCCAUUAGCUUGGUGGUGGGGUAACGGCCUACCAAGGCGACGAUGGGUAGCUGGUCUGAGAGGACGAUCAGCCACACUGGGACUGAGACACGGCCCAGACUCCUACGGGAGGCAGCAGUGGGGAAUCUUGCGCAAUGGGCGAAAGCCUGACGCAGCAACGCCGCGUGGGGGAAGAAGGCCUUCGGGUUGUAAACCCCUUUCAGUUGGGACGAAGCUUCCAGAGUUAAUAGCUUUGUGGAGUGACGGUACCUUCGGAAGAAGCCCCGGCUAACCACGUGCCAGCCGCCGCGGUAAAAC
rnacentral:rRNA from 1 species